UAAGUAGGCAUGUGCCUGACUAGUCUGAAGGUGACUCUAGCAAGAGCAAGUUGUUAGAUGCUAAUAGCUUUUUUGCCCUGCUCCUCACCCCGCCUCCACCCUCACCUCCCCAGUAUUUGUACUGAACUCAGCUGUGGGUACAACAGUUCUUGCAAAUAUGUUGACAGAUGCUGCUUUCUCACUUUGGCCUAGAUCUGCAUGCUGUCUGCUCACUGGGCUCUAGGGUUCAUAGGCAGAGAAGAGCUUGUUUGGUCCUGAUCAGAGUGUGACAAGCAAAGUUUCACCUCAAGCCUUGGCAGAGCUGCAUGUUCCAGUUGUCCUGUCUCCAUGUCCCUGGUCCUACACCCAGUGCCCCCACUGAUUAAGCCAUUGUACAGGCUGGCUGAAUGGCAAUCUUGUCACACCAUUCUUUGAAGAUAAUCUAAAUUCUCAAAUUCUAUAGGAGUCUUUUUCCAAAUUUUACUUUCCUUUUGGCAGUCAAGGAUGAUCUGGAUAGCUCUGUCUGAGCACCUUCAGCUGCAUAACCUAGUGUAAGGCAGCGUGUGACUGGUUGGUCUAGCACGUGCUUACAAGCUCUUGUGAGAUGGAAUAGAUGCCAGUGCGGGCUGUAAUGAAUAGGGAUAAUCUCCAGGUAAGGGAUGUGAACCAUGGUGACUGUGCUCUGUACCUGUAUCAGGCCUGAUGAUUGAAACCAAAUCUUUUAAAUCCACUGUUUUAACCCUAAACCCCACCUUCAGCAGAAGAGGAGGGGAAUGUAGAAAUAGUGUCUAGACUGGCUGCUGUAUUGUGUGCAAUAUCCUCAACACAUGAGUCUGCCUCAACACUAAGAGUUCAUAAGUGGUUUUAACUGUAGUUAAGGACAGCAUCCACCAAAUCUUAUAUUUCACACAGUGGGCCUUAAGCUUCACAUUAGACUGCUGGACUUGGACUUAGGCAUCCUUCCAUCCAUUUUCACGGGCAGAUGCAGAAUAAGUGAUGUGUGUUUCUGGUUUUAUAAGCUUGAUGUGUAUUGUAUACAGUUAGCUGUGACAGGCAACUCUGAGAAGAGUCAUUUGUAUAAACAUCCAGAUAUCAUCAUUUGGAUCCAUAUCUCCCUGGUCACUAUGAAGAGGUGAUCUCUUGACAUCUUUUAAAACACCAUGUCAAGCUAUUUCCAAGAAGCUUUCUGCUUGAAAAUGAUUAUAAAGCUUUAGUUUUAAUUUUGCAGGAGUUAAACUGAAUGUUAAUAACACCUCCAACACUAGACUUCACAUAUAGAACAUUACAGAUAUCUGUCUAGUGUUUCCAAUUAGCCAGGGGCACUGCCUUUGCUGUCUUGUUUCAACCAAAGACAAAAGUGAUUUGUUAGGAUAGCCAAUUGCCUUCCACUCUUGCAGAUUAGCACUAGAGCAUCACUACAGGAAAAAAAUCUAUCCUACUCAGAUUAUGGCAAGGAAAUUGCUCUAGUUCAGAAAACAGAAAGCUGUUUUAUGAACUAAUAUUUAGAGAAGAUGAGAGAGAGAUAUACAUGAGGGGCAUUGCUAAAUAGAUUUCAGUAUUUAUUUUUCUGAGAGAGAUUGUUUUCCUUGUGAAAGGGUAAUGUACAUCUAUGUUGCAAGGAGUUUCCUUAGAGAGUUUAAAAGAAGAGUGAAGCUUUAAGAACAAAGUGAAAAUGGAAGAAGAAUUAUACUGCCAUGGGAAGCUCAAAAAUGAGGCACUUGGGGUUCAGAGAGCCAUCGUUAAUUCUGUCCUGCCCCGAGGGCAUUCCUCUGUGACCAUCAAAAUGACACACAUGCAGCUGUCUGGCAGUUUGCCACAUCUGUAGGUUUGAUGGACUCUACUCUAGGGAUGACUAAACCUCCAGCUGUUCAGAAUGACAGUUUGCUUCAACAAACAUGCUCAGAUGUUUAUCUGACCUAUCUGAAUCCACAAAAGUAGAUUAUAAAUUGUUGCAAAUGCUUUUUCAAUACCUUUUUCUUACCAGAACCUGGAAAUACAGAUGGCCAUCAAAACAUGAAAGCCUGUCCUGCCUGAGCACUGCUUUACCAUUAGAUUAGGAUCAAUCCUAAUUUAAUGUACCAGAGACCUGCUAAGACUGCAGCUGUAUUCGUGGUUUAACAAAACAUGUAAUAAGGUGCACCUUAUUAAUAAUGUGGGGGGGGUGGGGGAGGUGAAACCUGGGCAUGUGUCUCUUUGGCUUAGUGACAAGACUGCAAAGCUCACAUAUGCCCCCAGCA
rnacentral:lncRNA from 1 species